GACGAACGCUGGCGGCGUGCUUAACACAUGCAAGUCGAACGGAAAGGCCCUGCUUUUGUGGGGUGCUCGAGUGGCGAACGGGUGAGUAACACGUGAGUAACCUGCCCUUGACUUUGGGAUAACUUCAGGAAACUGGGGCUAAUACCGGAUAGGAGCUCCUGCUGCAUGGUGGGGGUUGGAAAGUUUCGGCGGUUGGGGAUGGACUCGCGGCUUAUCAGCUUGUUGGUGGGGUAGUGGCUUACCAAGGCUUUGACGGGUAGCCGGCCUGAGAGGGUGACCGGCCACAUGGGGACUGAGAUACGGCGCAGACUCCUACGGGAGGCAGCAGUGGGGAAUAUGGCACAAUGGGCGGAAGCCUGAUGCAGCAACGCCGCGUGCGGGAUGACGGCCUUCGGGUUGUAAACCGCUUUCGCCUGUGACGAAGCGUGAGUGACGGUAAUGGGUAAAGAAGCACCGGCUAACUACGUG
rnacentral:rRNA from 1 species